rnacentral:lncRNA from 1 species
GAACCUCCAAUGGCUUCAUAAACUUGAAAGACCUGAUCUCUCCUCACAGAAGUCAUCAGGCAAGCACUCCCCGGAUGUGAUGUCUCUUGAAACACUGGAGAACACUUGUGAGCCAGAGGACCUCUUUGAUGACAUCUAGCUGUGUGUUGGCUGAGAAACUGUGAGGCUGGUGCUCCACGUCAUGUUGAGCUAUAAAACUUAAAAGCUUUGUUAUAGACACUCAGCUGAAAUCUUUACAGUAUGUGAUGAUGUAUUGCUCUAAUCCUCUUGCACUGGCCAUGUCCCCAUUCUUCACUAUACGGAUGCAGAUCUCUUGGUUUCCUAAGGCUUUGUUUGUGCCAGCCUUGAAAUCAGUUCAGCCUCUGUGUGCAGAUCUUUUAUCACACAUAUAUGGGGAAAGAGAGCACGCUCACAACAUUCUUACAUCAUAACAGUCUUUGACUGCUGAUUGUAUCCAGGAUCAGCUGUUUUUCAGAUGUCCCCAGAGAGUCAUUCAGACAAAAGGAAGACUUAAGGAUAUCACUGUAUUUACCUUACAUAUAGUAACCCUUUCUUGGGGAGCUCAGCUUAGACAUGGUCUAGCUAAUUCAUCCUUGACUUUAAAUGAGGUAUAUGUUUGAAGAUUC